rnacentral:rRNA from 1 species
UACAGAGGGGGCAAGCGUUGUUCGGAAUUACUGGGCGUAAAGGGCGCGUAGGCGGCCUGCUAAGUCGAACGUGAAAUCCCCGGGCUCAACCCGGGAACUGCGUCCGAUACUGGUGGGCUUGAAUCCGGGAGAGGGAUGUGGAAUUCCAGGUGUAGCGGUGAAAUGCGUAGACAUCUGGAGGAACACCGGUGGCGAAGGCGGCAUCCUGGACCGGUAUUGACGCUGAGGCGCGAAAGCUAGGGGAGCAAACGGG